AUUUGAGGCUGCAUUUGCAUAGUCAGGCUGAGCCGUGAAGGCUAUGCAAUGCAGCUACCAUAGACUACUGCAGCCCGUACUGUUCUCGAAGUCCGACCCAGACUUCGGCGUCGCAUCCAUGGCGAUCUUUGCUGGCCUUCUCACCUUCGUCUCCACCCUCCUCGCCCUCGCCCUCCGGCGCCUCCUGCGCCUCUUGCGCCGCCGCGCGCCCGACCCAGCGGCCGCGGCGGGGUUCUUCCACCCGUACACCAACGACGGCGGUGGCGGGGAGCGCGUGCUCUGGUGCGCCGUGCGCGCCGUCCAGGACCUUUGCCCCGACCUCCCCUGCGCCGUCUUCACCGGCGACGCGGACGCGUCCCCCGAUGGGCUCGCCGCCCGCGCGCUCGAUCGCUUCGGGGUCCGCCUCCUCCGCCCGCCGCAGGUUGUUCAUUUGAACAAGAGAAAGUGGAUCGAAGCAAGCACAUAUCCGCGCUUCACAAUGAUAGGGCAAAGUCUUGGCUCAGUAUAUCUCGCAUGGGAGGCUCUUAACAAAUUCACUCCGCAGUUCUACUUUGAUACAAGUGGCUAUGCUUUCACUUAUCCACUGGCUUGGCUGUUUGGUUGCAAGGUCCUCUCCUACACUCAUUAUCCCACGAUCAGUUCUGAUAUGGUCGAACGUGUUAAGCAGCGCAACUCAAUGUACAAUAACAACUCUCUUAUCUCUGGAAGCAUUUGGUUGUCUCGAUGUAAAGUUCUGUACUACACCAUAUUCAGUUGGUUGUAUGGUUUAGUUGGUUCCUGUGCACAUCUUGUGAUGGUGAAUUCCUCAUGGACAAGAUCCCAUAUUGUGAAUAUUUGGGAAGUCCCAGAGCGUAUGAAGCGGGUAUACCCUCCAUGUGAUACUUCUGCCCUGCAGAUGCUCCCCCUGGAAAGAUCAACAACACCUCCUAUUUUUAUAUCAGUUGCACAGUUCCGUCCUGAGAAGGCCCAUGGUCUUCAGUUGGAGGCAUUUGCACUUGCUCUUGAAAGGCUAGAUUCAGACUGUCUCAAGCCAAAACUUCAAUUUGCUGGCAGUUGCCGGAAUAAAGAGGAUCUGGAAAGAUUACAAAAGCUCAAGGACAGAUCUGUGGAGCUUCACAUAGAUGAGCUUGUAGAGUUCCACCAGGAUAUCUCUUACAGAGACCUGGUACAGCUUCUAGGUGGUGCAAUUUGUGGGCUCCAUUCAAUGACAGAUGAGCAUUUUGGAAUAAGUGUCGUUGAGUACAUGGCUGCUGGUGCUAUUCCAAUUGCCCAUAAAUCUGCAGGACCAAUGAUGGAUAUUGUGCUAGAGGAGGACAGCCGCCAGACAGGGUUUCUGGCCUCCAGGAAGGAAGAAUUUGCGGAGGCAAUCCUCAAGGUCUUGAGGAUGCCGGAGCCAGAGAGGCGAGAAAUGGCGGCAGCAGCACGGAAGCGUGCUCAAAGGUUUUCAGAGCAGAAGUUUCACGAAGAUUUCACAAACGCGGUUCGCCCAGUUUUAUUAGGACGCUCAUGACGCUUGCUAUAAUAGCCCAAAAACAUUAACAUGUUCUGCAUGAUGGAGAUUCAGAGGUUUGAGUGCAUCUGCAAAGUUCUAGCUUGAGCUUUUCCAGAUUAUCAGUGUUAGUUUUGUGUAUCACACACACUGUUGUAUAGAGAAGAAGAAAAGAAUGAUAUGAUAAACUCUUGACUGUUUCUUUGGCACUAUACUAGUACUGCACAUUUUGGCCCCAAUAUCUGAACUUGAGAAAUUCAACUCCAUGCAUGAAC
rnacentral:rRNA from 1 species